rnacentral:rRNA from 1 species
AGGGUUCGAUUCUGGCUCAGGAUGAACGCUGGCGGCGUGCUUAACACAUGCAAGUCGAACGGGAUCCGGCCAAGCUUGCUUGGCUGGUGAGAGUGGCGAACGGGUGAGUAAUGCGUGACCAACCUGCCUCAUGCACCGGGAUAGCUCCUGGAAACGGGUGGUAAUACCGGAUGUUCCACAUGAUCGCAUGUGAUUGUGGGAAAGGCUUUUUGCGGCAUGGGAUGGGGUCGCGUCCUAUCAGCUUGUUGGUGGGGUGAUGGCCUACCAAGGCUUUGACGGGUAGCCGGCCUGAGAGGGCGACCGGCCACAUUGGGACUGAGAUACGGCCCAGACUCCUACGGGAGGCAGCAGUGGGGAAUAUUGCACAAUGGGCGCAAGCCUGAUGCAGCGACGCCGCGUGCGGGAUGGAGGCCUUCGGGUCGUAAACCGCUUUUGUUCACGAGCAAGGCAUCCUUUCGGGGGUGUUGAGUGUAGUGUUCGAAUAAGCACCGGCUAACUACGUGCCAGCAGCCGCGGUAAUACGUAGGGUGCGAGCGUUAUCCGGAUUUAUUGGGCGUAAAGGGCUCGUAGGCGGUUCGUCGCGUCUGGUGUGAAAGCCCAUCGCUUAACGGUGGGUCUGCGCCGGGUACGGGCGGGCUGGAGUGCGGUAGGGGAGACUGGAAUUCCCGGUGUAACGGUGGAAUGUGUAGAUAUCGGGAAGAACACCAAUGGCGAAGGCAGGUCUCUGGGCCGUUACUGACGCUGAGGAGCGAAAGCGUGGGGAGCGAACAGGAUUAGAUACCCUGGUAGUCCACGCCGUAAACGGUGGAUGCUGGAUG